AGUGUAUAAUGAGCAGUGAGACGACUGGAGGUCACUUUCAUCGCCAUCUUGGUUUUGGUGGGUUUUGGACAGCUUCUUUACGCAUGCUGUUUUAUCAGCAAGGUCUUUGUGACCUGUAUCUUGUGCCGACCUCCUAUCUCAUCCUGUGACUAGGAAUGCCUUAACCUCCUGGAAUGCAGCUCAAGUCUUGCUGUGUUGCCCAGGCCAGAGUGCAAUGGCAUGAUCUCAGCUAACUGCAACCUCCACUUCCUGAGUUCAAGUGAUUCUCGUGCCUCAGCCUCCUGAGAAGCUGAGAUUACAGACGCAUGUAACAUUUGGUGCUGAAACCCAAGACAGGGGACUCCUUCAGAAGACCAGCCCCCUGUCCUCACCCUCAGUCCGGGAGGAGAUCCACCUACGACCUCGGGUCCUCAGACCAGCCCAAGGAACAUCUCACCAAUUUCAAAUUGGGACCCCACUGGAAGUCGGACCAUCCAACUUGGAUUACAGCUGCUCCUAGACCUACUGGAGCAAAAAGCUAAGGCUCCUGGCUGAUUCCUUCCCAGAUCUCCUCGGCUUAGUGGCUAAAGACUGACGCUGCCAAAUCAUCUCGGAAGCCCCCUGGACCAUCACGGAUGCCGAGCUUCGGAUAACUCCUACAGUGGAGGAUGGCCUGGAGCAACUGAAGAACCACAAAAGAAGUGAAACAGCCAGUUCCUGCCUUAACUGAUGACAUUCCACCAUUGUGAUUUGUUCCUGCCCCACCCUAACUAAUCAAUCGACCUUGUGACAUUCCUCCCCUGGACAAUGAGUCUCAUGAUCUCCCCACCCUGCACCUUGUGUCCCCCAUCCCUGCCUGUAAGAGAUAACCACCUUUAACUGUAAUUUUCCACUACCUACCCAAAUCCUAUAAAACUGCCCCACCCCUAUUUCCCUUUGCUGACUCCUUUUUCGGACUCAGCCCACCUGCACCCAAGUGAAUAAACAGCCUCAUUGCUCACACA
rnacentral:lncRNA from 1 species